GUGCCAGCAGCCGCGGUAAUACGAAGGGUGUGAACGUUGCCCGGAUUUAUUGGGCGUAAAGCGCACGUAGGCGGAUUGGAAAGUUGGGGGUGAAAUCCCGGGGCUCAACCCCGGAACUGCCUCCAAAACUCCCAGUCUAGAGUUCGAGAGAGGUGAGUGGAAUUCCGAGUGUAGAGGUGAAAUUCGUAGAUAUUCGGAGGAACACCAGUGGCGAAGGCGGCUCACUGGCUCGAUACUGACGCUGAGGUGCGAAAGUGUGGGGAGCAAACAGGAUUAGAUACCCUGGUAGUCCACACCGUAAACGAUGAAUGCCAGACGUCGGGUAGCAUGCUAUUCGGUGUCACACCUAACGGAUUAAGCAUUCCGCCUGGGGAGUACGGUCGCAAGAUUAAAACUCAAAUGAAUUGACGGGG
rnacentral:rRNA from 1 species